GACGAACGCUGGCGGCGUGCUUAACACAUGCAAGUCGAACGGUGACCCUCGGAGCAUGCUUCGGGGUGAACAGUGGCGAACGGGUGAGUAACACGUGAGUAACCUGCCCCUGACUCUGGAAUAAGCGCUGGAAACGGCGUCUAAUACCGGAUACGACACGCCUCCGCAUGGGGAGCGUGUGGAAAGUUUUUCGGUCUGGGAUGGACUCGCGGCCUAUCAGCUUGUUGGUGAGGUAAUGGCUCACCAAGGCGAUGACGGGUAGCCGGCCUGGGAGGGCGACCGGCCACACUGGGACUGAGACACGGCCCAGAGUCCUACGGGAGGCAGCAGUGGGGAAUAUUGCACAAUGGGCGAAAGCCUGAUGCAGCGACGCCGCGUGAGGGAUGACGGCCUUCGGGUUGUAAACCUCUUUCAGCAGGGAAGAAGCGAAAGUGACGGUACCUGCAGAAGAAGCACCGGCUAACUACGUGCCAGCCGCCGCAGUAACAC
rnacentral:rRNA from 1 species